rnacentral:lncRNA from 1 species
UAUAAUAAAAAUCAAAAUAAUAACCAAAAACGGCAAAAUUUCCUAUAAAUUACCAAUUCAGGGGCAACAAUCCAGCUACGGGUUGUGCGAAUCAUCCGAAAAUUUCAGGGCAGAUAGAUCUUGACCUGAUAAACAAUUUUACCCUGUAAGAUUUGCUCGAAAAUACAACAAAAAAAAUGAAAAAAAAUGCAACAUUCAUUCCUCAACAAAAGAAUACAUCACAAUAGUCGAGUGACAUUAACCAUUCAAUUGUAUUUUUAAUGCACCCACUUAAAAUACGGCUAAAACAUAUACUUUUCGAAAGCAUAUCAUCUGUCCUAUCUCUUUGUCCGGUUGUCACAUAUUCGUACGGUGCAAUUUCCGUCAAAUCAUGAUGAAAGGUCAAAGACAAUAACAACCAAAACCAAGGAGUAUACAAAAAAAAGUUGCACACUUUCUACUUUUACAAGAUGUUAGCAUUUUGGCAUAUUCUGUCUUCUGAAUAAUGAUAUUUUGUAUGGAAAUACGAAAAUCUGGUAGAACAGAUGCUAAUAGUCACUUAACAAAGGCACUUUAAAAUAUUGUUGACGGAUUUUCACUAAAUAGCGCUGUUUUCCAGAAAUUCCAGUAAAAAUGAUAAAAUUGCUUAGAAACCC